UGAAAAAGCCAGUUCUGAGACUAAAAUAAAGCACGAAGAAAUCCUGCAAAACUUCCAGAAGAUGCUGGUGGACACGGAGGAUAAACUGAAGGCUGCCCAGGAGGCCAACAGAGACCUGAUGCAGGACAUGGAGGAGCUGAAAUCCCAGGCCGACAAAGCCAAAGCUGCUCAGACUGCAGAAGACGCCAUGCAGAUCAUGGAACAGAUGACCAAAGAGAAAACAGAAACACUGGCCUCCUUGGAGGACACCAAGCAAACGAAUGCAAAACUACAGAGCGAAUUGGACACACUUAAGGAAAACAACUUGAAAACUGUGGAAGAGCUGAACAAGUCAAAAGAACUUCUGAACGAAGAGAACCAAAAAAUGGAAGAAUUCAAGAAGGAAAUAGAAACCCUAAAGCAGGCAGCAGCUCAGAAGUCCCAGCAGCUUUCAGCACUGCAGGAAGAGAACGUCAAACUUGCCGAGGAGCUGGGGAGGACGCGGGACGAAGUCACAAGUCAUCAAAAGCUGGAAGAAGAACGAUCUGUACUCAAUAAUCAGUUGUUAGAAAUGAAAAAGAGACUAAAGAAAGUCUAUCCACGUUAUAAUAAAUAAACCAUAUAUUUUUAGUAAACCAAA
rnacentral:lncRNA from 1 species